UGAGCUCUUCUGCUGAGUUCCCUGCGUAAGCUCUGGUCGCCAUUUUCUGCGAUCAAGUGUGUUCUUCGAUUCGAUUGAAUGGCAAAAGCCCUUUGAUAUUCUUUGCAAAUAUUGGAAAGCAUUUUCUAAUGUUCUUAUGAAUAAUUGGACAAAGCAUUAUGGCUUGUUUAACAACUUUGAAACAAGAAAUCAGAGUACUGGAGAAUGCUUUCCCAAAGUCAGAUCAGCUUUUUCAAGUCGUAGCUGCAAGUGUUGAUGAACUUACAUGUCGAUUUGUUUCCAAAUGUGGCAAAAAGUAUGAUAUCCACGCAAAUAUUACGGAGACCUACCCACACUCUCCUCCCGUCUGGUUUUCUGAGACAGAAGAUGCCAUCAUCACAAAUUCUAUAGAAAGACUGAGCAACACCACAGGACGGGAUAAUCAUGUGGUGCAGCAGGUCAAGUUGUUAUUACAGGAACUGUGUUCGUCAUUUGGUAUGCACGAUCCUCCUGAUCUGGAGCAGAAACUGAGCUUCAAUGCCCUACCGCCUCCCUCUCCCUCCGCUGGAUCAGUCGCACCCGACUCCAAACAUCCGCCGAUGGAAGACUAUGAAGACUCGGAGAUGGAGGAAGAAGAGGAAGACAUGGAAGAAGAUAUUCAGCUCGACAUGGACGACACUACAAACAGUCCUAACCUGCAAAAAGAUGAUGGAAUAGAUCCCACGAACCUGGCGACUUUAGUGCGGUUGAAGGCGAACCAGCGGCAAGACUACCUCAGGGGCUCCAUCUCUGGCACUGUCCAGGCCACCGACCGCCUCAUGAAGGAACUCAGGGACAUUUAUAAGAGUGACGCCUUCAAAGCAGGCGUGUACAGCGUAGAUCUCAUCAACGAUAGCCUCUACGAGUGGAACGUGAAGCUGCAAGUUGUUGAUUCAGACUCGCCUCUCUACAAUGAUAUGGUGCAGCUUAAAGAAAAAGAAGGCCUCGAUCAUAUCCUCUUCAAUUUUCAUUUUAAGGAGUUAUUCCCGUUCGAGCCUCCGUUCGUGCGCGUCGUGGCCCCAGUAAUCUCGGGUGGCUACGUGCUGGUGGGCGGCGCCAUUUGUAUGGAGCUGCUCACGAAGCAGGGCUGGAGUUCUGCGUAUACCAUCGAGGCUGUCAUCAUGCAGAUCGCGGCUACGCUCGUUAAAGGGAAAGCCAGGAUACAAUUUGGUGCUAACAAAGUAGGCAAGGGCCAAUACAGCCUGGCAAGGGCACAGCAAUCCUUUAAAUCUCUAGUACAGAUCCAUGAAAAGAAUGGAUGGUUCACACCUCCCAAGGAAGACGGGUAAUGUUCCAUGGAGUUAUGUCACCUAAACGUAGCCCUUGCAUCGCAUCACUCACACUUCGUUAUCGUCCGCAUGGCUCCCGUCUUUUUUUCACCUGAGAUCAUCAAAUGGUAGCCCUUCAACAGUCAUAUUGGACGCUCAUUCGUUGCCCUUCAACCGCCGUUAGUUAAACGCACGCACAUUCGUCAACCUUGAACAUUAAUUUUUAUAAUGCUGUGAACAUUCUGCAUCGGGCGUUAUUUGGAUGCUCCAUACAUCGUUCUGCAACAGGCGUUAUUUGGACGCUCCAUACGUCAUUCUGCAACAGCCGUUAUUUGGAUGCUCCAUACGUCAUUCUACAACAGGCGUUAUUUGGACGCUCCAUAUGUCAUUCUGCAACAGGCGUUAUUUGGAUGCUCCAUAUGUCAUUCUGCAACAGCCGUUAUUUGGAUGCUCCAUACGUCAUUCUGCAACAGCCGUUAUUUGGAUGCUCCAUACGUCAUUCUGCAACAGCCGUUAUUUGGAUGCUCCAUAUGUCAUUCUGCAACAGGCGUUAUUUGGAUGCUCCAUACGUCAUUCUGCAACAGCCGUUAUUUGGAUGCUCCAUACGUCAUUCUGCAACAGGCGUUAUUUGGAUGCUCCAUAUGUCAUUCUGCAACAGGCGUUAUUUAGAAAAAGAUUUUCAGUUUGUUCUGUGUUUAAUUGACGGUAUUUUGUUGAUUAUUUCGGCUUUCUUCAAUACUUGUUAUUUAUUUUAGCACCCUUAUGCUGUUCUCAUUCUCUUUUGCAUAUUUCCAUUGCGUUUCUUCCUUUUUAGCUUUUCUAUUCUGAAUGAAACUUUGCCAUUUCUUUUUAAUUCCCAUUCGUUCAUUGCUCUCUGAACUUAAAAACAAUUACUGGGAAUUCAUCAAAAAUGCCCCAUUGUAUUGUGUAUCACUAUGCGUGCCCUCCACAUGGACUCAGUAGUAGAAAUUUUGAUCGACGUCUUCAAUGAAAUUGUUAUUGUUCGUCUUGACGUUCAUUACUUGACUCGGGUUUGAUUAAUUGUUCUGUUGAAAUCUUCUCUAAAAUCUGAAGGCACAUAUUAAAUUUCUGCAGCGUGAAAGAAACAUUGAAUUUCGGUAUUCAGUCCUAUACUUUACAAUGACAAGAAACUGUUCAUACUUACUAUUUUCGAACUAUAAGCGCCUCUUUUUACAGAUAAUUAGUUAUUUCAGCUAUGCGCAUAUACCUUUAAAUUCAUAAAUAUAUUUAUUAUUCAUGAACUAGAUUGUGCAAGAAGUAAGCAACCCACGAAAAUUGAAAUGGAUUUUUUCAAACUUCAAGAUCCAAUAACUAAUACCUGGCAAUGAUCAUGAGCAAUCAAAUCUCAUAAGUAAAUUUGUUGGAACUACUUUUUUUAAAAUGGUUUACAGGAGCUGCUGAAAAUGGCGAAAUAAAUUUAUCAUAUAAUGAACUAUGAAUUCAUUGGCUACGAUACAUGUUUAUGUGCAAGUGUAAACGUAAUUCACUUUAUUAAACUUAGUUUUUUUUCAAUUUUCCUCGCUGUGAAUCUGGAGUUACGUCACCUAAAAUAUCACGCUACACGAAAAUUACUUUGAGGACAGUCGUGACUAUUUUAAACAUUUGCUGUACUUGGGGUUGAACAUGAAAUAUAUUCCCUCAUUUCGAAUGUUUCUUGAAUGGCUUGAAAGAUUUUCCUUAACUACUAUUUAGUUAUUUACACUGAAAAUACCUGUCUCACCUCAUCAGUUGAAUUUAUCUGUCGUAAAAUUGCCAGAUCUCUUCAAAUAUUAAGAUAACUUUCCUCUGAAGCGCUGGAGAACCUAUUUCUUCUACCGUCAGCUCGGGUAAGAUUGCCACUUGAGUGUAACAUUGACCCAAAGUUAGAAAAAAAGUUUUGCUGUGCUGUAGUGUCAUCAAAUGAUGAGUUAUCGACUAAUUUAGUACGCCACUGGACAGUGGUCACAGAUAAUUUUUUCUGACUCUGGACACUGUAAUAAUUAAGGGCCAAUCUUACCACAGCUGACGGUACCAAUCAAUUCUUAGGUCAGUUCGGGAAGACGUUGCCUGACAGAAAUUUGAUUGACUUGAUCCUAUCUUCUUAGUAUCUGAUUUCUUUAUGUUGAAAUUAAGCUUUGUUAUAAGGACCCGAAACUUUACACGAAAAACUGAUAUUGGUAACUCCGCGAUAUUGUUGCUUGGGCUCUUGCUGUUUUUAAUGGAUUAAAAUUUUUCAACUAGCAUGAAAUUUAACCUGUAAAUUCAUUACAUGAAAAACUUUUUGAUUGACGAAAACGUUUCCCGAAAUAUUGAAACUCGAAUUGUUUGUUGAUUAGCCUUGAACUUGAUGCAACUAAUUGUUACUUUUGUAACUUGAUGCCACUUUCUUGACUGGACUUCAGUAUAGUUGAUCGUUAGAAUGUUUGGAACCGAAAAGUGGUUUUCGGCUGAUGACUCUAAAUAUUGAACAUUUGAGUUUUAAUAUUUUAUGUUUAUUUUUUUACUGCAAUCUUGAUAAUACCGGUAAUAGGCGGGAAACUACGUUUUCGCUAGUAUUUCUUCGUGAUUUAACGACGUUGAAGAACUCUGUUAACGAGACCUUGCCAUCAUCCAACCCUGCUCCACACUUACAUUUUCUGCCUGUACGGCCGGUCUAAUUUUUGUACAAAAUGUUUGCAAUUUCUUGUACCGAGUAUCACAUACUUGUAAUAUUAUUUUUUACAUGCGUUGUAUGUGCUAAGUUGAAGUGGCGUACGAAAGAAGGACGAUAUUGAAUGACUUGAAUUGAAUGCGGUGCUGUGAAAUAUCUCUUGAUCAUCCUCCACCUAUUUUGCAUGUUAACACUCAUUCAUCCAUUGAAUGAUCGCUAAGCAUCACAUUCAUCUAAGCGAAGCCGAAUUUUCAUGAGCGAUCUUUGUCACGUCAGCAUGAGGGCAGAGUUUGUCACGUCAGCGCAACAUGGCUUGAGUCGCAGUGUUUGUUAUCAAGUGUAGCACCGAACUGCGUACGCAAAACGUUAAGAACGUUAUUAAUAAAUGUUAAUAACAUCUUCAGUAUUCGUAUUGCUCUCGUGAAGCAAGUGGUAAUUUUAACCUCAUCUCUAAAGUACCGCGUACAUUACAUCGUUACGAAUGUUGAGCAUCUCGUUGCUGAUAACAAUGCAUCCUAACUUGUGUCUUGGAAUGAUGGUUUUUUUUGGGCACUUGAUUUUUAAUUGAAGUGAGAGUUUGGCUUUGGAACUCGUACGUCUAUUUACUGCUUGAGUUGGUCAAGGUGUGCAUACGAAUUGACACGUUGGUCAGAUGUUCAAGUUCAAGAGCCACGUGUGCAUUGUACAGGUGCGGUGUACGUACUGAAGAUGAGAGUGCAACGCUGUGACCAUUCCGUGACUCAUCGCAUUCAUUAUAUUGGCGCUAUCCAAUUGUAAUUACCGUAGCGUAAGUUGUUCUUCCUUGGUAAGUUCUCUAGCCUAAACUGUUGCGUUGCAGUCGUCACUUUAUUUGAGUUGCAUUCGUAAUUAAUUGGUGUGUGUAGUUAGUGUAGUGCGCGAACAGCGCUGCAAACCCGAUCCUCGCAAGCUCAACUCUGCAAUUUUCUUUGCUAUUCUUUUCUCAUUCAUUUUGUAUUCGUUAUCAUCGUCGAUUUUCUUUUGUAUUCUCUUGUAUAUUUCCUCGCUAUCUGGUCUCGAAUAUGAUCCAGAUUCGUAUAUCAACAAGCAGUUCAAGCCACAGUACUAUGCAAUUGAAAAAAGUUUUCUACAAAUUAUAAAACGAAUGAUAGUACCCUCUCUGUUCGUUUAUAAGAUUAGAAUUUUUUCGGGCUAAGUGCUGCUAUUGACUAUUUAUUUGUACGUUAUUAUUUCUAAUUAGUUAAUCACGUUCCAGGUUAAUUUCAUUUCCCGAUUGAAGGUGUAAUUUAAUAAAAUAACGUUGCAUUGCUCCGUGAUACUCUAUAUGACUCUAAUUCUGUUUGGUUCUCUUCCGUUUUAUAUUUCGAACGUGAUCGUACUUUUCUGAAUUCCUUGUCAGUGGUUUGAACUUUAAAUUCUUCUAUUUCUCCUCUUAUCUGAACCCGAUGAUAUCCUUUGAAGAACUCGGCUAGCUUGUAAGUGUACAAACUCUAUUCGCUAUAGGUGUUCAGGCCAUGUCAUGGAUUGGCUAGCUUGCUUCCCAAAGCGACAUGUUCUUUCCAGCCGCGAUUUAAAACUUCACUUUUUCUCCGCUUGUAUAUCUCAUUCUAUCUCAUCUCACCCCGCUCAUCAAGUUAUUUUUUUAUUUUUUAAUUGAUAAUGAGCAUCAUCUCUAGUUGUUACUCUCUAUACUUUUUUGAAGCCAGUUUUCUUGAUCUUUGUAAUCAAAUUGUACUCUGUUUUUAUACUAAAUUUGCAUCGUUCCUGCAAGCAUUUUUCUCGAUAAAAAUUCAGUGUUACUAAAGAUUCCCCAACUUCAUUCCAAUCGUUGUUAUUAUUAUGGCAGAUACAUUCUAUUGCUCGUAUCUUUUUUCAUAAAAUCAAAUUAGCUUCUGUAAAGCUCUAAUUUUGUUCUACUACGCUUUUUGGAUUACUAUUCUGCACCUGUUAUUGGAAGUAAACUGUUCAGCGUUUAGUUCGGACUUGAAUCCAACUCUCCAGCAUAUAUGCGACACACGCAUCAGUUAAAAGAUUUGUUACAAUAUUUAACAAACUUGGUAUUUAAAUUAACCGAGAGAUACUGCCAUUACAAAUAUUUGCUGUUAUUUAUCACGUUUCUCGAAUCGAAACUGCUCUUCCUUACUCUUCUCUCGUCAUAUCAACAUCUUCAUGUAUCUCAUCCAAUUCAUUUAACUUGGUCAUCCUAUCUGGAGUCUUCACUCAAGCAAUUCAGUUCGCCUCACGCAACUUAUUGAAUCACGUCAUCUUUAUCAGAUCUUUGAUCCCACCCAAUAGCCCCCGCGCGACAGUCUCUCUGGGAAGGAGGCAGUGCUAGUCUUAAGGUUGUACAUAAAUCGGUGUCGCUUCUAUCGUGUGCCCAACGGUGAAUUAUCGACUUCCUGUCGUGGGAACUGCUUAGGAGCAAAUGUCAACCUGAUUAUGAUUUGUAAAAUGCAUAAGAGGCAAAUGUCAUGCAUGAUUCGGGAUGUCAACCUGACUAUGAUGUAUAAACUUGAAGUUAUAGCAACAUAUGCUCAUGGUUUCAAUUUAAUUGCGGGGAAAUAACCCGAUUUGGAUCACGUAUCUGUAAGCUGAAUAUUUAUUUGUCGUAAUUCAGAUAUGUAAUUCUUGUGAAUCCUUAGUGAAAGCUUUUGGAGGUAACUUGAUUAUUGGUUUCUUAGAGAAUUUUAAUCAGAUGUGAUUUCUGCAUCUCUAACUUCUGUCGAUCAGUGAUCUCGUGUGACGAUAACUGUAUCAACAGGAGUCAACUAAAGUUCGAACAUUUAGAAGUAAAAGCAGUGACCAUUUCUGUAGAUAUUGAUAUCACCGAUUAUGAA
rnacentral:misc_RNA from 1 species